CAUGCAGUCGAGCGGAUGAAGGGAGCUUGCUCCUGGAUUCAGCGGCGGACGGGUGAGUAAUGCCUAGGAAUCUGCCUGGUAGUGGGGGAUAACGUCCGGAAACGGGCGCUAAUACCGCAUACGUCCUGAGGGAGAAAGUGGGGGAUCUUCGGACCUCACGCUAUCAGAUGAGCCUAGGUCGGAUUAGCUAGUUGGUGGGGUAAAGGCCUACCAAGGCGACGAUCCGUAACUGGUCUGAGAGGAUGAUCAGUCACACUGGAACUGAGACACGGUCCAGACUCCUACGGGAGGCAGCAGUGGGGAAUAUUGGACAAUGGGCGAAAGCCUGAUCCAGCCAUGCCGCGUGUGUGAAGAAGGUCUUCGGAUUGUAAAGCACUUUAAGUUGGGAGGAAGGGCAGUAAGUUAAUACCUUGCUGUUUUGACGUUACCAACAGAAUAAGCACCGGCUAACUUCGUGCCAGCAUCCGCGGUAAUACGAAGGGUGCAAGCGUUAAUCGGAAUUACUGGGCGUAAAGCGCGCGUAGGUGGUUCAUCAAGUUGGAUGUGAAAUCCCCGGGCUCAACCUGGGA
rnacentral:rRNA from 1 species